UGAACCUUUAACGUAGUCCUGUGAGGCUAGUAAGGUGCCGGCGGUGUUCACUAAGGACGGAUGAAACUGUGCUUAAAGUCUGAACACUAAAAGACCACUUACCUUCAGGUAGGUGGUCUUUUUUU
rfam:Lactobacillus siliginis strain DSM 22696 Scaffold14, whole genome shotgun sequence.